AAACGACGGCCAGUUGGUGCAUGGCCGUUCUUAGUUGGUGGAGCGAUUUGUCUGGUUAAUUCCGAUAACGAACGAGACUCUAGCCUGCUAACUAGGCGUAUUUCCGACAUCUCAAAGGCCCGCCGGCCCGGCGUUCGCGUCGCGGUCGCGCGCGGUUUUUACUGUCGGCGUACAAACAACUCUUCUUAGAGGGACAGGCGGCUUCUAGCCGCACGAGAUUGAGCAAUAACAGGUCUGUGAUGCCCUU
rnacentral:rRNA from 1 species